rfam:Triticum aestivum genome assembly, contig: Triticum_aestivum_CS42_TGACv1_scaffold_404357_5BL
AAGGUACUCCCUCCGUCCUGAAUUACUUGUCGCAGAAAUAAAUAAAAAUGGAUGUAUUUAAAACUAAAAUAUGUCUAGACACAUCCAUUUCCGUGACAAGUAAUUCCGGACGGAGGGAGUAUUUA